GCUGACGAGCAUCUCUCGACGGCGCCACCGCCCGGACGUGGCCCCAGGAGCCGGGAGAGGCCGGCUGAGGCACAUGCGUACUGGGAGACGGACAAAGUCCCACAAUACCUCGCUUCGUCACUGCCAAAUCAGACUCAGGGUGAGACGCUUCCGCCCGGAUGAAGGUAUUGUCGGGGUGAUAGUCCUUGCUUCCGGAAAGGCGAGCUGAGCAUUAUGGGUUAGGUGAGGAACCUCGCCCUCUUCUAUUACGGUACGCGCGAUGGGUAUUCCCUGAUGCCAUGAACUUACACGUUUCACACACGGGACCAGACGCUUGCUUUAGUUGACGCAUGAAGACCGGUCCGGUCUUUUGCGGAGAAAAGUGGUUAAAAGCUGACUUGUGGGCCGAGAAACUGUGGCACCCUAAUGAGCUAGGGCUAGACGCUUCGACCACCACGCCAAGUGAUUCUGAAGAUCUCUAAUUCUGUCAAGGCGAGAGCGCUCCAACACGUGUUCAUCGGCUGUUGCUUUUUAAAGAGAAGGCAAGGAGGAAGUCUUGCUUUUCUUGUACUUUUUUUCCUAGAAGCAGCAUUAAAGAUUUACUCCUUA
ensembl:lncRNA ARF4-AS1 ARF4 antisense RNA 1